CACGGAGUCGUUUUAGUUUUUCGAGAAAAUCUCAAAUGGAUUUUUUUUGCGUACAGCGUGAUUGUCUUACACGAAGAAGCGAUAUAAAUUAUACAUUAGUUUUUAUUAUACACUUUUAAAGAACUCUGCAUAAGGACGGAUUAAGUACAGCCUGGAUCAAUUUAUAGGACAAUUUCGAUUUCGACAUAAGUCAAAAAUCCUCCUAGUACGUUAGUAAUAAUAACUCAUGGUAGUAUUCAAUGUCAAAGUAGCUCCUUAGGUAUUCAUAGGCCGAUUAUAAUUUUCGCUUCCGAGUCGUAAAUAAUCAAUUAACGACAUAUAUGGACAUUCUAAAAUUUAAUUACCUUGAAAUCGCUCAUCUCGUUAUGUGUCAACCUACUCGUAAAAUCGUCACUUAGCAGAACACUCAAUAACUUCAGAAACUCAUUUUCACGUGAAGGUACAUACCUAUAAAGAUUACGCCAAAUCUAGUUAAUUGCUGAUUGCUAAACAUGUCAUCAGCUGUUUUUCACAUGCUUACAGUUAAUGACUCGCCUUCUUUAUUUAAAUUCUCUAGAUUAAACGUGGUUCUCGAUGUUUCGUUGUGAUUCAACGGGUGUCUUGUUUAUAGGAAAACUUACCUGGUAUAAAUGUUUUAGUCUCCUUCCUGUCGCUCUGGUCUUCGGUCUUCGCCAGCUCGGACUCCACCGCCGCCUCGGAGGAGAUAUCCUCGCUCCUCACAUCGUGCACCAGAAGGAAAGCGCACGCACACACUAACGUGAUCCUUAUAAACUCCCGCAUUUUACUAAACAUUGGUAACUACUUGUUGAGGUCCGUAAGGGCCAUGUUUCUAUCACUGGAAGUUAACUUGUGAUCAGACUUAACAGUCACAUUUUCGCCGAUUUCAAGCUACGCGUUUUCUUUAAUGACAUACGUGGUACACAUACCAUCGUUUAGAUAACACUCGCGAAAGCAGUAAUCACAUAAUUCGGUGGCAACGUGCACAAGUAAUUAUAAAUAUAAUACUUUAUCGGUAAAAAGUAAUUCGAGAACUAGUUUGAACAGAUUGUUUUUCGGUCGAUUUCGAUUUGUAAUUCAGAACGAAAACGCACGUCUAUCUUUCGUCGCGUUAGCGAAGGUACUGGCGUGU
rnacentral:misc_RNA from 1 species